rnacentral:rRNA from 1 species
AAAUUGAAGAGUUUGAUCAUGGCUCAGAUUGAACGCUGGCGGCAGGCCUAACACAUGCAAGUCGAACGGUGACAGGAAACAGCUUGCUG